ACAAAAGUAGCUUUUAAAUCAACAGGAGCCUUUCAUAAUGCAUUGUGCUUUUCACUAAGAGGUUAUCUGCUUUCACCUGAUGCAAUAUAGAACUAUUAAUAAUGGCCCAAAUUGGCAGCAGAAGGGCAGGAAGAAUAAAUAGAAUAAAUAGCAUGUUUUAACAUUUUAAUGUAGUCACACUGGGGCCAGAAUGCCACAGAGAGAAGCUGCUGUUUGUCACAGCUGAGAUAGCCUCGAUCCUCCCUCUCUCUCUCUCUCUCUCUCAUAGCAAGUAAUGGGCAGUGAAAGCAAAUUUCACAGUCAAGUGAAAGUGAUAAAGCUUAUCUAACAGAGAUGGACAUAGAUUUGUCACCCUUGUCUGGUUGUCACAUUCAGAUGGUUAUUAGGUGAAUUAAAUUUGGCCAUAAACAACCACAGCUGAAACAAUGUUUGUGAUAAUGAGACAAAAACAUAACCCACGCAUUCAGGUCAUGCCAGAAUUUGGGCUUGUUCUUACGUAAAUCUACAUUUCUCCAAACCAGACACAUUUCAGUUUUCUAAAAACAGGCAACACAUGGAGCAGACGACAGACGGGACCACCUCAUAGCGCCGUUCAAUGUCCUCAUCACAGCUGAACAGACGCUCUGGACUCCCAUCCUGAGAUGGUGGGGAGAGCUUAAAGGCCAGAAUCUGGGCAGUGGACGUCAUGCUGUCAGUGUGUAUUAGAGAGUGUUACGUAUCUUCACGGGAGCCGAUGAAACAGGGAGAGUGGGGUCAUGUGGAAGGUAGAGGGUGCAGAAGAACUCACCGCUGUGACAGCUCGCGAUCAGGGGUUUAAACUGCUUACACGAAGCGCUAAUAACUCAUUUCAGCAUCCUCUGUGGCGAAGGCUUUUUUUCCAUUCCGAAGCAUUCAGAAUCCGAUCUAAUAAUACAUCUGGCUCGAUUCUAAGCCUGUAGUAAAGAGUGUUUCAUAUAAUUUGUUCAAAGAAGUCCAGAUGCUUUCAAACUGGUUUGGUAUCAUCAUAUGCAUGCAUUUUUUGGUAUCCCUCCGUUUCCUUUCUUUCUAUUGUAUAUCUGAUGGCACUCAGUGUUUUUCAUUUUGAUUCACCUGCUUCGUUGUCUUUGGAGUGUACCAUUCACUUAAGAGUGGGGGGGGGGGUGCGUGGGGGGGGGGGGUGCACAAUGGGGGGCCUCAGUGAAUGAAGCUGAAGCAUUUUGCACCCCAUUCAGUAUUAGUUUAAUCAAAUUGUCCACUCAUAUAAGCAUAUUCUUCAAAUUUUGGAUGUUUAAAAAGUAAAUGCAGCCACAAAACUUGUAACGUAACAGAGUCAUUCUAUAUUUAGGGGUAUAUAGCUACAUUUCACGUCAGCUAAAGAGUCAGAAAAUCGGUAUUCUUUUUUGAUAAAUAAAUUAGGUGGUUGAAUAAUAGAUCCCCUUAAAGUGCUAAAUUAAUCGUUUGGCAAGUUUAAGCUCUAAUGACUUUUUAAAUAUGUUAAUGAAAAUUAACAUUUGAUGCAUUGUUUUGUCAACCCUGUUAUGGACAAAUGUUGUGUCAAAUGAAACAUGAAUGAAGUCCCACAUGUUGAAAUACACAUUUGUUUGACAGUUUUUGAGUUGUUGAGGUUAUCUGUCUAACUUAUCUGUCUGAAGGAUGAUACUUUUCUUUAACAUAAAUCCACAGUAUGUUGAAUUUAGUCUCCAGAGAUAUCCCCAUUCUUUUUUUUCUGGCGGAUUAGUUCACAUUUAAAAGAUGUAUAACAUAAAAACCAC
rnacentral:lncRNA from 1 species